CCUACGGGGCGCUGCAGUGGGGAAUAUUGCGCAAUGGGCGAAAGCCUGCCGCAGCGACGCCGCGUGAGGGAUGAAGGUCUUCGGAUCGGAAACCUCUGUCAGCAGGGAAGAACGGUCACUGUGCUAAUCAGCAGUGAAUUGACGGUACCUGCAAAGGAAGCACCGGCUAACUCCGUGCCAGCAGCCGCGGUAAUACGGAGGGUGCGAGCGUUAAUCGGACUUACUGGGCGGAAAGCGCUCGUAGGCGGUAUGUCAAGUCAAGGAUGAAAUCCCCGCGCUCAACGUGGGAACUGCCUUUGACACUGGCAAACUGGAGUGUGUGAGAGGAUAGUGGAAUUCAAGGUGUAGGAGUGAAAUCCGUAGAGAUCUGGAGGAACAUCAGUGGCGAAGGCGACUAUCUGGCACAUAACUGACGCUGAGGAGCGAAAGCGUGGGUAGCAAACAGGAUUAGAUACCCGAGUAGUC
rnacentral:rRNA from 1 species